rnacentral:rRNA from 1 species
UACGUAGGUGGCAAGCGUUGUCCGGAUUUACUGGGCGUAAAGCGUGCGCAGGCGGUUUCGUAAGUCUGUCGUGAAAGCCCCGGGCUCAACCUGGGAAUUGCGAUGGAGACUGCGAGGCUAGAGUGUGUCAGAGGGGGGUAGAAUUCCACGUGUAGCAGUGAAAUGCGUAGAUAUGUGGAGGAACACCGAUGGCGAAGGCAGCCCCCCUGGGAUAACACUGACGCUCAUGCACGAAAGCGUGGGGGAGCAAACAGG